rnacentral:rRNA from 1 species
GACGAACGCUGGCGGCGUGCUUAACACAUGCAAGUCGAACGGAAAGGCCCUGCUUUUGUGGGGUGCUCGAGUGGCGAACGGGUGAGUAGCACGUGAGUAACCUGCCCUUGACUUUGGGAUAACUUCAGGAAACUGGGGCUAAUACCGGAUAGGAGCUCCUGCUGCAUGGUGGGGGUUGGAAAGUUUCGGCGGUUGGGGAUGGACUCGCGGCUUAUCAGCUUGUUGGUGGGGUAGUGGCUUACCAAGGCUUUGACGGGUAGCCGGCCUGAGAGGGUGACCGGCCACAUUGGGACUGAGAUACGGCCCAGACUCCUACGGGAGGCAGCAGUGGGGAAUAUUGCACAAUGGGCGGAAGCCUGAUGCAGCAACGCCGCGUGCGGGAUGACGGCCUUCGGGUUGUAAACCGCUUUCGCCUGUGACGAAGCGUGAGUGACGGUAAUGGGUAAGGAAGCACCGGCUAACUACGUG